CGUAAGCUUGAAAGGGAUAGACUCGAGAAGCUGUCAAGUGUUGGUCCAGUCAAGCUUUGACCACUCGUGGAACAUCAAUCCUCAUACUGAAAUAAUAUUGCCUCAAAGUUCUAUCUAAACACGACGGGUUUCGUAAGAUUUGCUGGACGACGGUGCGACAGUGCCAUUUAAUUAGACGUGAAAAUCCAAUUAUACACAAUAUGAGACUGAGUCUAUAUAUCGUCGUAUUCUUAUUGAUCAUUAUGGCAACCACAGCGUUUAUAGUUCCGAUAAAAUUACGAUGGAAGCAAAAGAAAGCAAAAGUAGGUGCACAGCUUCGUAGGCCGAAAAUUGUUCAUUUACCACAGUUACCAAUACAAUGAAGAAUCUAUUGUUUUAAAAGGAGUUUGUGCAGAAUAUUUUCUUAUACUAUAUACAUAUACAUGCUAUAUACAUAUAGCAUAAAUAUGGAACAAUAAACAGUAUGUACCGUAUA